CAGAGAUCUACUGGAAACAGUGGAGAGGGAGGAGAUGAUAUGCAGCAAAAGGCCCAGUCGGAUGGUUGCUGCUCCGUGUGGAACGUGUUCUAUCAGAAACGAUCAUGCCAGCCCACAUCAAACACCUGAUCAAGAACUUGUGAAUCUUCAGGCAGAACAGAUGAAAACACCUGUUCAAAGUUUCAGUUCCCUGUACAUGGAACCAAGCCUGUCUGGGACUCUGUUCCACAUGUCUUCAGUCAGUCCUGGACCCUAUGACUAGGACACUAGUUCUACCAAGGCUUAUUAGAGAUCUGCUACAUUGGAGGAUUCCAAAGCUGAGCUGGAAGGGGAAGUCACCACCUACAGGACAGCAAAUCUAAACAUUAAUUUGGAUAAACUAUUAAACCAGGUAUUUUCACAAAAAGAACAAUCUGAGAUACCUGAACAGUGUGAGCCGGCACCCUGGACACCCACACACCCCAAUAAUUCCCCUUCAAAGAGCGAGCCACAUGGGAAGG